CUUAUUGUAGACAAUAGUCAACAACACAGGUUUACUGAAAUACCUUCUUUUCAAAAAAUACCAACAAUGACGUGCACACGUAGCCUGCAAGCAAUGGUAGUCGUAUUCCUUGUACUGUUUGAUUUGAAUGCACAUCACCCUGUUGACGCCAUGCCUUUUGCCAAAGAACAUGGUCGAGUUCGCCGGCAACCAAUCGUACAAGAGGCUAGAUUGGAUGCCGCCAAAGACCCACUGCAGGAUAACAUGAUCGAAACACCAGAUUGUCCCCCUGGUUAUUGGUGCUAAAAAUGUUGAUUAAUCAAUCUGAUGGGCUGAAGUAAAGAAGAAUACAAUAAUCAUUUACUCAAUCGCUAGACUUGGUUCAUUACAUGGAUUUUCUUCUAUUUAAUUCUAUUUUAGUAUAAACAAAUUCAUAUUAUUAUAAAUUACAUAAAAUUAUAUAUAAUAAUAAUAGCGAUUAUAAUAAUAAUUAUUAUUAUUAAUAUUAACAUUAUUAUCAUUAAUAUUAUUAUUAUAACUAUAAUUAUUACUAUUAUUAUUACUAUUGUUAUUAUUAUUUUAUCGGAUUUUCAGUACCCACUGCUACUCGGGGAUCGGAUUCAACACUAGUCACUAAACGCAAGCCUGGUAGUCUAGUGGUUAUGGGGCCAAGGUGGUUUUAUCUAGAGGUCAUGGGUUCGAUUCCCACUCGAAUCCCUUGAAAAUGUUUUCACAAGUAUUUGGGAACGUACUGAGUACUACGUACGAUAACACGCCGGGUAGGGCAAAACAUUACUCCUAUGAUACUGUUAUUAUUAUUAUUAUUAUUAUUAUUAUUAUUAUUAUUAUUAUUAUUAUUGAUAUUAACAAUAUAGAUAACAAAUUUUCGUUUUUGUAAAGCUAGAAUGGAAACGGUGUACUCCUAGUAUUCCUGAAGCUAAAUGAAAUUCUUUCAAGAUAUUAACAAUAUAUAGCACAUAAUUUUAUGAUUAACAGCCUCAUAUUAAUAAAAAAAAAACAUCUUAACGCAAGAUAUAAAAGUGAUUAAAUCUGUUAUAAAAUAAAUGUUUGUUUAAAAAUGCACUAACAUCAUUGUGACUAAACUUUUAUUUAUAGUUGUAGACGAUAACAUUUUUUUAUUGUCACUUGAUCUCUUUAAAUCAUGAAAGACAUUUGGCCACACAUAUAUAAUAUAUUCUUUUUGGUGAAUGUAGUCAUUAUACUAGUAUUACGAUUCAUUUCAAUAAACUAAUACAUCGAUUACAUGA